ACUGUAACCCUCCAGCUGAAGAAAGUACUGCAAUACUAUCCAGCUAAGACAGUAGAUACAAGUACAAAAGACAAUAGCAAUCCUAUAAGGAACAAGCCCCGUUAAGCUACUUGUCCCUGAGAGGAGCCAAACUAGCUGAGCAUCAGAAGAACUCAUUCAUCACCUAUGCUUCUCUCCACAGCAAGUUUUGUGAAGACACUUUAGAGAGAGAAAGGACGUGGAGGUCUGGCAGUUCUAAAGUGGUGGUUUGACAUUCCCACCAUUACAGCCACUAGUAGAUUGGACUAUAGGAAGAAUCACAAGAUCUCAGGACUGAAAGGAACCUCAGAGGCACCUGAAAAAAACUAUCUUCUCUACAACAUAGCCAAUAAGGAGUCAUCUGAUCUUUUCCUAAACACUUCUAGUAAAUGAAAACUUAAUACCUUGUGAAAGAUUCUGUUCUACUUUUCUCUUUCUCUAUUUGUAUUUGCACAAAGCCUAAAUCUAGUCCUUUGUAAUAUCAUUAUUAUCUCCCAAAUGCUCCUAAUUCUACCCUCUUGGGCCAAAUGGAACAAGUUUAAUCACAUCUCCACUUGACAACCUUUCAGAUACUUGAAGACAAUGGGCCUGUUCCUCUCAAGCCAUCUCUUCUUCAAGCAAAGCAUCCCCAAGUUCUUCAAAUGAUAUGAGCUCCAGAACCCUCAGCAAUCUGCUCACCCUUCUCUAGAUGCUUCUAGUUUAUCAAUAUUCUUCCUAUAAUGUG